rnacentral:rRNA from 1 species
AGAGUUUGAUCCUGGCUCAGAAUCAGCGCUGGCGGCGCGCUUAACACAUGCAAGUCGAACGAGAAAGUGGAGCAAUCCAUGAGUAAAGUGGCGUACGGGUGAGUAACACGUGGGUAAUCUACCUUUUGGUGGGGAAUAACCCUGGGAAACCGGGGCUAAUACCGCAUAAGCUCGAAAGAGGAAAAGAGAAAUUUGCCGAAAGAGGAGCCCGCGGCUGAUUAGCUAGUUGGUGAGGUAAAGGCUCACCAAGGCGAAGAUCGGUAGCCGGCCUGAGAGGGCACACGGCCACACUGGCACUGAAACACGGGCCAGACUCCUACGGGAGGCAGCAGUGGGGAAUCUUGCACAAUGGGGGAAACCCUGAUGCAGCGACGCCGCGUGAGCGAUGAAGCCCUUCGGGGUGUAAAGCUCUUUCGGCCCGAACGAUAAUGACGGUACGGGAAGAAGAAGCUGCGGCUAACUACGUGCCAGCAGCCGCGGUAAU